UCCUACGGGAGGCAGCAGUAGGGAAUCUUCCGCAAUGGACGAAAGUCUGACGGAGCAACGCCGCGUGAGUGAUGACGGUUUUCGGAUUGUAAACUUCUGUUAAGUGGGAAGAAAGGCUCGUCUAUAAUACAGACGAGACAUGACGGUACCAUUAGAGAAAGCACCGGCUAACUUCGUGCCAGCAGCCGCGGUAAUACGAGGGGUGCAAGCGUUAUUCGGAAUCAUUGGGCGUAAAGGGUGCGUAGACGGCAUAUUAAGUCAACUGUUAAAUCUCCCGGCCUAACCGGGAAUCAGCGGUAGAUACUGGUGUGCUAGAGGAUGGAAGAGAGAAGUGGAAUUCUCGGAGUAGCGGUAAAAUGCGUAGAUCUCGAGAGGAACACCAAUGGCGAAGGCAGCUUCUUGGUCCAUUUCUGACGUUGAGGCACGAAAGCGUGGGUAGCAAACAGGAUUAGAUACCCUGGUAGUCCACGCCGUAAACGAUGAUCACUAGAUGUCAGUUUUGUUUAACAAAAGUGGUAUCGCAGCUAACGCGAUAAGUGAUCCGCCUGGGGACUACGGUCGCAAGAUUAAAACUCAAAUGAAUUGACGGA
rnacentral:rRNA from 1 species